rnacentral:tRNA from 1 species
GGCAUAUAGCUCAGUUGGUAGAGUAGUUGCCUCACAUGCACAAGGUCCAGGGUUCAAUCCCCAGCACCA